rnacentral:rRNA from 1 species
UGGGGAAUAUUGGACAAUGGGGGAAACCCUGAUCCAGCAAUGCCGCGUGAGUGAAGAAGGCCUUAGGGUUGUAAAGCUCUUUCGCCCGCGAAGAUAAUGACGGUAGCGGGAGAAGAAGCCCCGGCUAACUACGUGCCAGCAGCCGCGGUAAUACGUAGGCAGCAAGCGUUGUUCGGAGUUACUGGGCGUAAAGAGUGCGUAGGCGGUUUUCUAAGUUCGGUGUGAAAUCUCCCGGCUUAACUGGGAGGGUGCGCCGAAGACUGGGAAGCUGGAGUGUGGGAAAGGCAGGCGGAAUUCCUGGUGUAGCGGUGAAAUGCGUAGAUAUCAGGAGGAACACCGGCGGUGUAGACGGCUUGCUAGACCAUAACUGACGCUGAGGCACGAAAGCGUGGGUAGCAAACA